CUACGGGAGGCACCAGGCGAGAAAAUUCUGCAAUGCACGAAAGUGUGACAGAGCAAGCCAAAGUGCUUUUCCGUAUUAGGAAAAGCUUUUGUGAGAUGUAAAAAGUCUCACGAAUAAGGACUGGGCAAGACUGGUGCCAGCCGCCGCGGUAAUACCAGCGGUCCAAGUUGCAGCCAUGUUUAUUGGGUCUAAAACAUCCGUAGCUUGCCGAGUAAGUCUUUUGUGAAAUCUGGCAUCUCAAGUGUCAGGCCUGCAUAAGAUACUACUUGGCUAGAGACCGGGAGACGUAAGGAGUACGAUUAGGGUAGCGGUAAAAUGCGUUGAUCCUUAUUGGACUAACAAUAGCGAAGGCAUCUUACGAGAACGGAUCUGACUGUGAGGGAUGAAGGCUAGGGUCGCAAAACGGAUUAGAUACCCGGGUAGUC
rnacentral:rRNA from 1 species